UGUUGGGUUUAUACAUUUGUACGGUUAAAAACUGAUGUAACUGACAGAAUAAUCAAACAUUAACACGUGGCAUGCCAUGUAUGCUUCAUGUUGAACUUAUAAUGACCAAUUUUUAAUAGUAAAAAUAUAUUAAUUUUUUAAUA
rnacentral:pre_miRNA from 1 species